rnacentral:tRNA from 1 species
GCCGAGGUAGCUCAACGGUAGAGCACGGCUUUCGUAAAGCCGGGGUUGAGGGUUCAAAUCCCUUCUUCGGCU